AGGAUUCCCCUCGUAACUGCGAGUGAAGCGGGAAAAGCUCAAAUUUAAAAUCUGGCGGUCUUUGGCCGUCCGAGUUGUAGUCUGGAGAAGCGUUUUCCGCGUUGGACCGUGUACAAGUCUCUUGGAACAGAGCGUCAUAGAGGGUGAGAAUCCCGUCUUUGACACGGACUACCAAUGCUUUGUGAUGCGCUCUCAAAGAGUCGCGUUGUUUGGGAAUGCAGCGCAAAAUGGGAGGUGAAUUCCUUCUAAAGCUAAAUAUUGGCGAGAGACCGAUAGCGAACAAGUACCGUGAGGGAAAGAUGAAAAGCACUUUGGAAAGAGAGUUAAACAGUACGUGAAAUUGCUGAAAGGGAAACGCUUGAAGUCAGUCGCGUCGUCCGGAACUCAGCCUUGCUUCGGCUUGGUGCACUUUCCGGAUGACGGGCCAGCAUCGAUUUUGACCGCUGGAAAAGGGCUGGAGGAAUGUGGCACCUUCGGGUGUGUUAUAGCCUUCAGUCGCAUACAGCGGUUGGGAUCGAGGAACGCAGCACGCCUUAUGGCUGGGGUUCGCCCACAUUCGUGCUUAGGAUGCUGGCAUAAUGGCUUUAAACGACCC
rnacentral:rRNA from 1 species